CUACGGGCCGCUGCAGUGGGGAAUAUUGCACAAUGGGCGCAAGCCUGAUGCAGCCAUGCCGCGUGUAUGAAGAAGGCCUUCGGGUUGUAAAGUACUUUCAGCGGGGAGGAAGGGAGUAAAGUUAAUACCUUUGCUCAUUGACGUUACCCGCAGAAGAAGCACCGGCUAACUCCGUGCCAGCAGCCGCGGUAAUACGGAGGGUGCAAGCGGUAAUCGGAAUUACUGGGCGUAAAGCGCACGCAGGCGGUUUGUUAAGUCAGAUGUGAAAUCCCCGGGCUCAACCUGGGAACUGCAUCUGAUACUGGCAAGCGUGAGUCUCGUAGAGGGGGGUAGAAUUCCAGGUGUAGCGGUGAAAUGCGUAGAGAUCUGGAGGAAUACCGGUAGCGAAGGCGGCCCCCUGGACGAAGACUGACGCUCAGGUGCGAAAGCGUGGGGAGCAAACAGGAUUAGAUACCCUCGUAGUC
rnacentral:rRNA from 1 species